AUUGAACGCUGGCGGCAGGCCUAACACAUGCAAGUCGAGCGGAUGAGUGGAGCUUGCUCCAUGAUUCAGCGGCGGACGGGUGAGUAAUGCCUAGGAAUCUGCCUGGUAGUGGGGGACAACGUUUCGAAAGGAACGCUAAUACCGCAUACGUCCUACGGGAGAAAGUGGGGGAUCUUCGGACCUCACGCUAUCAGAUGAGCCUAGGUCGGAUUAGCUAGUUGGUGAGGUAAAGGCUCACCAAGGCGACGAUCCGUAACUGGUCUGAGAGGAUGAUCAGUCACACUGGAACUGAGACACGGUCCAGACUCCUACGGGAGGCAGCAGUGGGGAAUAUUGGACAAUGGGCGAAAGCCUGAUCCAGCCAUGCCGCGUGUGUGAAGAAGGUCUUCGGAUUGUAAAGCACUUUAAGUUGGGAGGAAGGGCAGUAAGUUAAUACCUUGCUGUUUUGACGUUACCAACAGAAUAAGCACCGGCUAACUUCGCG
rnacentral:rRNA from 1 species